GACAGAGGAGCCAAGCGUUGUCCGGAUUGACUGGGCGUAAAGCGCACGCAGGCGGGGGUGCGCGUGGGGUGUGAAAUCUGGCCGCUUAACGGCCAGGCGCCAUCCCAUACGGCACGCCUGGAGCCUUGCAGAGGUCGGUGGAAUUGCCGGUGUAGUGGUGAAAUGCGUAGAGAUCGGCAGGAACACCCAGGGGGAAACCAGCCGACUGGGCAAGUGCUGACGCUGAGGUGCGAGAGCGUGGGGAGCGAACAGG
rnacentral:rRNA from 1 species